GAAUUUAUUACAAGAUGUCGCUUUUGUCAGAGGUGCAUGUGCUUCGUUUUCAACGAUCCUUUCAAUGGCAGUGACACUUCUUCCAAGGAAAAAGCUGGUCCAGCUUGGUCUGCAAUGAGAAGUCGGGAGAACAAGGAAAAUAUGCAAAGUUAUCAGACUAAGCCUAAUAACCACGUGGAAUCGAUGGAUUGGGAUGAUAGUGAAUCGAUGGCGGCUCAAUCGGUUGCUCAAUCAACUCGUUCCAGUCAUUUCAAGCCAGGACUUUUAUCCAGAAAUAUCAAUGAAAGAAUGACUGCUCAACAGCUUACACCCUCCGUGGCAAAUUUGAAUCAAAUUUGAACCGACAAAUGGCUCAGCAACAGAAUCACACACCGACUAGAUCAUUGUUCGGGCCACCACGAUCUAUGGUAGCUUCACAAUACGACAGGAGUCACUACAUGGCACCGGAAGCACAAUGCUCGCAGCCGCCGAAUUAAAUUUGGUAGAAGUGGAAGCAACAUUAAGAUUUCGUCAACGUCUGAUAAUCUGCCAGGAACGCUUAUAUAGAGCGACCGUACCAGAAACGGAGCGAAUCCAGAUUCCAUUGCUCAAAAUUCUCGGAUUCGCUUGCAAAUCAGAAGGAGUGGAGCAGAGAUUCAAGGUCUAGCACUACAGUUCAUCGAAAAUGUACAAAAUCUGGAAAGAUUUUUGGAAGAGGAGAACGAGAACUUGGCUGCCGGUGAUACACAACGAGCUCAAAUCCUAUGCCAAGAGUUCCGUCACCACUUCAAUCAGAUUAAUCAAUGGAAGUACCGCUGUGUCGCGAAUAUGAGACGAAUUUCAAAUCGCAUUGGAGCUUUACGACGUAGAUUGGCACUCCCGGUGAAUGUCGAAUUCGGCGUCUUGGAUAUCGGUCAGCAUGGAUAACG
ensembl:ncRNA C47G2.8 ncRNA